UUCCCGUUGAGAUCUCUACAUUUUAAUUCCAUGCCACUAUUUGCUAAGUGCAUAUUUAUACCUCCGUUGUACACGUGACUGCAUAUGGACAUGUGCUUGCUAGUUUUAUGUCAGCUUGACACAAGCUAGAGUCUAUUAGAGAUGGGGAAGCCUCAAGUCAGAAAACACCUCCAUAAAAUGGAGUUAUACAUAGAUCCCCUCCCUUGAACAAAUUGUAGCCUUUUUUGAUAAGGCAUCUCAGAGUGGAGUCUAUGGGAUGCUCCCAGAAGUCUAGUCUCCUCCUUUAAAAACUCUCUGUCCAGGAACCCUGAUGGCCAUAAGCGAUCUCUCACAGCCUGAUUAACGGAGUUCCUUAUAA
rnacentral:lncRNA from 1 species